rnacentral:rRNA from 1 species
GACGAACGCUGGCGGCGUGCUUAACACAUGCCAGUCGAACGGAAAGGCCCUGCUUUUGUGGGGUGCUCGAGUGGCGAACGGGUGAGUAACACGUGAGUAACCUGCCCUUGACUUUGGGAUAACUUCAGGAAACUGGGGCUAAUACCGGAUAGGAGCUCCUGCUGCAUGGUGGGGGUUGGAAAGUUUCGGCGGUUGGGGAUGGACUCGCGGCUUAUCAGCUUGUUGGUGGGGUAGUGGCUUACCAAGGCUUUGACGGGUAGCCGGCCUGAGAGGGUGACCGGCGACAUUGGGACUGAGAUACGGCCCAGACUCCUACGGGAGGCAGCAGUGGGGAAUAUUGCACAAUGGGCGGAAGCCUGAUGCAGAAACGCCGCGUGCGGGAUGACGGCCUUCGGGUUGUAAACCGCUUUAGCCUGUGACGAAGCGUGAGUGACGGUAAUGGGUAAAGAAGCACCGGCUAACUACGUG